CAGUGUGUAGCUCUUUUAGAAUUUGUUUAGCAGGUUUUCUGGCUCUUUCUGGAAAGCCCCC
rnacentral:snRNA from 1 species